UGUAAGCUCAGAGGCCGCAAGGCAGGCGGGGAACAUUGGUUUCCCCCAUCACUGAAGCAAGAAAACCUCAUGUUAGCUUCAAGCUGCUUGGCUGCCAGCCGCCAUCUUGGCUGGCAGUUAAUUUGCAUAUCACCCUGAUUAGCCAAUGGGAAGGGUAGUGGAUAUACACUAAUUAAUUACCAUGUUUCUAUUUUAUUAGAUAGGAUACCAUGGGAUAUGUGGGUCAAUAUAUAUUUGUCUUAAUAAAGGAAUUUAAGCUUAAUUUAAACAAAUAACUGGAAGACCCUCUGAGGAUAUUGACUGGAUGUAAUUUCUGCCCAAUUCUCUAAAAGUCAAAGUGUAUAAAAUCAAUGAAGAGCAGUAAAGAGCAGGAGUAAUCUUAAGGAAAUGUGUUAUCUAAUUAGUGAUGAAAAUGAAUGUUCUUACCUUCUAUCCAGGAAAACCAUAGCCAACAGCUUGGCGGAAUCAACAGGAAAAGAAGAUACUGUUGUGCUUGACUCUAGUCCAGGUGAAGAGACCUGAGAGUUGUAUAAUAAGUGGGAGUUCCCUGGUGCUCCAGUCCCCAUGUGGGGACAUGGCAGGAUCUUCCAUUCCUG
rnacentral:ncRNA from 1 species